rnacentral:rRNA from 1 species
GACGAACGCUGGCGGCGUGCCUAAUACAUGCAAGUUGAGCGCUGAAGGUUGGUACUUGUACCAACUGGAUGAGCAGCGAACGGGUGAGUAACGCGUGGGGAAUCUGCCUUUGAGCGGGGGACAACAUUUGGAAACGAAUGCUAAUACCGCAUAAAAACUUUAAACACAAGUUUUAAGCUUGAAAGAUGCAAUUGCAUCACUCAAAGAUGAUCCCGCGUUGUAUUAGCUAGUUGGUGAGGUAAAGGCUCACCAAGGCGAUGAUACAUAGCCGACCUGAGAGGGUGAUCGGCCACAUUGGGACUGGGACACGGCCCAAACUCCUACGGGAGGCAGCAGUAGGGAAUCUUCGGCAAUGGACGAAAGUCUGACCGAGCAACGCCGCGUGAGUGAAGAAGGUUUUCGGAUCGUAAAACUCUGUUGGUAGAGAAGAACGUUGGUGAGAGUGGAAAGCUCAUCAAGUGACGGUAACUACCCAGAAAGGGACGGCUAACUACGUG